rnacentral:rRNA from 1 species
AAUGAACGUUGGCGGCGUGGAUUAGGCAUGCAAGUCGAGCGAGAAUUUGUACAUGGAUCCUUCGGGUGAAGUUUGCGAAGGAAAGCGGCAAACGGCGUAGUAAUGCGUAGGUACGUACCCUCAGGUCGGGAAUAGCCACGGGAAACUGUGGGUAAUGCCCGAUAAUCUCCGCGGAGCAAAGGUGUGAUUCCGCCUGAGGAGCGGCUUACGUGAUAUUAGCUUGUUGGUGGGGUAAUGGCCUACCAAGGCAACGAUGUCUAGGGGGUGUGAGAGCAUGGCCCCCACGACCGGAACUGAGACACUGUCCGGACACCUACGGGUGGCUGCAGUCGAGAAUCUUCCGCAAUGGGCGAAAGCCUGACGGAGCGACGCCGCGUGCGGGAUGAAGGCCCUUGGGUUGUAAACCGCUGUCAGAGGGGAUGAAAUCAUGGUAGGCAAUCCUUCCAUGUUGACAGAGCCUCAGAGGAAGCACGGGCUAAGUACG